UAGAUUUUAGCGUUGAAGAUGGAGGGCUA
rnacentral:piRNA from 1 species